CACAUAUUCUAAUACCAACAGUGCACUUUAGAAGAGAGCAAGGAACAGGUAUGUGAGGUAGAGGUUACUCUGAGAGGCCAUAAGCUUUCCAUUUCUCAAACGACUGAAAACUAGGGAAAAGUCUAAAGAUUAUAGGCAGGCUACUCCAUAGAAAAGGAGCCGCCCACGAGAAGUCCUGCAAGCGUGAGUUGGUGCGAGCAGCAGACAGGAGGUGAUCAUGGGCAGAGCGAAGAGACUGAGACGGGGCAUACCUGCGGAUCUGUGAAGAGAUAUAAGAGGGGCUAGAAUUGUUCAGUGCUUUAUCGGUGUGGCUUAGUACUUUUUUUUUUUAAUUCUUUUUUUUUGUUCGUGCAUAAGGUUAACAGGCGAAUUAGUACUGCCACAAUAGCUGGUACAAUCGAGUUUGCAUACACUCUUAAUCACAUGGCAUUAAUGAUAUUGCACUUUUUUGAAAGAAG